rnacentral:rRNA from 1 species
GAUGAACGCUGGCGGCGUGCCUAAUACAUGCAAGUCGAGCGAACGGACGAGAAGCUUGCUUCUCUGAUGUUAGCGGCGGACGGGUGAGUAACACGUGGAUAACCUACCUAUAAGACUGGGAUAACUUCGGGAAACCGGAGCUAAUACCGGAUAAUAUUUUGAACCGCAUGGUUCAAAAGUGAAAGACGGUCUUGCUGUCACUUAUAGAUGGAUCCGCGCUGCAUUAGCUAGUUGGUAAGGUAACGGCUUACCAAGGCAACGAUGCAUAGCCGACCUGAGAGGGUGAUCGGCCACACUGGAACUGAGACACGGUCCAGACUCCUACGGGAGGCAGCAGUAGGGAAUCUUCCGCAAUGGGCGAAAGCCUGACGGAGCAACGCCGCGUGAGUGAUGAAGGUCUUCGGAUUGUAAAACUCUGUUAUUAGGGAAGAACAUAUGUGUAAGUAACUGUGCACAUCUUGACGGUACCUAAUCAGAAAGCCACGGCUAACUACGU